ensembl:lncRNA
GGGAGUGUUAAAGGAAGCGAGGUGUGUCUCUCUACAGUAUAAUUACGAGUUAUUUCUCUGGGAAGCCAUGCAGACAGAACCCUGACAGGAACUACAUCUCAGUAAGUACACUAUUUCUAAAUAUGCCUUAUUUUGACAAUAUCUAUUUUUUUUAAACAAUGUUUUUUUUUAAAGAAACAUGUAAAACAUGAUUGAUAGAGUUUAACAGAUAGCACUUUGAUUGCUGUGUUACAGUACUUUGAACUAUGGAGACUAAAAUUGCCAAUGCAGGGAAAUAUGUUCUAUGUAUAUCUUUAAUUGUUAAUAAGUAUUUUUUUAAUCUACUUAGGGAUACGUUUACUAAAUGUUUAUUCCAGAUGAAAUAAAAGACCAAAAACAAAACAAAGCUAAAAUGUUUGUAUUCCAUUUGGAAAAGUACAAUUUCUGCUAUAAUGCUAAUUCUUAAGUAAUCAAGAAAGUAGUUUAUUUGACCCGUGUCAGUGCUUAAUUUACCAGCAAAUACUGGGAUAAAUACUUAGUACCUGCGUAAAAUAUCAAUUAAUUCAGUAACUUAGGUGCUUACUGAUUACCUCAGUGCUUUCAAUGCUCCAGCCAGUGGAAAUCCAUUGAAAUACCAUAUUAUAUAUAGUAUCUUGACAUUAAUGUCAAAGCAAUUAUCUUUUAUAAGUACCUGAGAAAAACUGUUUAUAAAGGUAUCUUUGCAGACAGUAUUUACCUGGCAACUACAUGAAUAAAAAGCACUGCAAAAGGCUAAAAAAAACAUGUUGGCCAACACCCCACUGUUACUUUCCCUGGUAAGGAACAUUGGUCUUAGUGUGCAGCCAGCAGCCACAUCUUUCUAGGACACUAUUGUUCCAUAUGUUUGCAGAUAGCAUUUUCCACAACCAGUCAGACUGGUUAGAUGUGACUGAAUGUAGCAAUAUGUUGACAAGGACCUCCUCCAUCUCUAACUCUAGGUUCUAUACUAGUGAAAGCGGGGACAAAAUAUAAUAUUUUAAAUAAAUCAUUAAAACAAGUAUAAAUAUUUUUUCCAUUUCAGGGUUUUGAUCUGAAACAUCGAGAUGUGGGGUCACAACCAAGGAAACCAGCAUCCCUCUGGCUACAACGUGAACCCAAGUGGGUGCGAACCGCCAAUGCCAGGUGGGGGACACCCUGGCGGGUGCACCAUUGGUGCCAUCAUGGCCCCAUCAUGCCCUCCCUACCAGCCCCCCUCCACCUGCUACCCUGUGCCACCAUCUUAUCCAGUACAGGGUCCCCAUGGAGGUCAUGGGCAUGGGCACGAUCAUGGGCACGGACCUCAUGGCCAUGAUCAUGGUCACGGGCACGGACAUCAUGGUCAUGAUCAUGGUCACGGUCACGGGCAUCGUGGAGGUCACGGUCAUGGAGGGCACGGUCAUGGAGGACACGGAGGGCACGGUCACGGAGGGCAUGGUCGCGGAGGGCAUGGUCAUGGGCAUGGUCAUGGUCAUGGGCACGGUCAUGGUCAUGGUCAUGGGCACGGUCAUGGAUGCAGGCACAGGCACAAGCAUGGGCAUUGGCAUGGGGGUUGUCACAAGAAAGGGAAGCAGAGUCAUGGGAGUUCAAGCAGCUCCUGCAGCAGUGACUCCGACUAGAGCCUGCAGUCAGAGGGACAUGACUUAUCCUCUUAUCAGCCGUAAGAGACCUGGAUCUCUCUCCCCAGUGCUUUACUAUAGCCCCAGAACCAAUCCCUAAUCCCCAUACCUAACAUAUGGAUGUUACAAACCCACAUCUCUCCCGCUCAUAUGUCUGAUUUUUUUAAAAGCAUGAUGGUUUCUUUUAUGUAAAAUAAUUAAAGGACACAGAGGGAAACGUAUUUUUUCUUGUUGUAUGCCAAAAUGAUUUAAAAAAAUAAAAUAAAAAAUGUCCAAUUACUGUGUACAUCAUAACUACAACCCACAGUAUACAUUUUUGAUAUGUCAAUUAUUGUGGGCCUGGGGAAUUCUGAUUUGUUUAUGGGUAUUUGGUUAUCCGAGCCAAGCUAUAAUUGUAACCCUGCAUAGUUUCCUCAUAAAGUCAAGCAUUCCUAAACAUUGAUUUGUAGGAACCUAAACUCAAAUGUGGGCGGGUUGCCUGUUUUGCAUGUUAUUUUGACAUGAAUACAUGUCACAUAUCAGUUUGCACACAAUAUUAAAAAAUAAAAAUAUGUCAUUAAGCUAAUAAAGCUGCAUACAAACUUA